CUUUGGUCAGAUUGUACCACAGUAUCGUUUCUGAGGAAACCUUCAUGAAGUGAAUAAAUACCAGUCCAGCUUGAGGCUGCUCACAACAGAGGAAAAACACAGCAGAGAGGAGAGCAAAGAAAAACCAUGGACCCUGUGACAAGUGCAGCAGUUGGAGCAGCAGGGGCUCAGGGUAGCACCCCUAAAGCUCUGGGGGCCGCAGGUUUCACCUCAGGUGGAAUUGCAGCAGGCUCCACGGCUGCUAAAAUGAUGUCGGCUUCUGCAGUGGCUAGCGGAGGUAGAGUGGGAGCCGAAGUCUGGUGUCUGCUUGUCAAUCAAAAGGUGCGUCUGGUGCGUCAAAGGGCAAAAGUGAAG